rnacentral:misc_RNA from 1 species
CGCGCUCCGCCGCAGGCC